AGAGUUUGAUCCUGGCUCAGGAUGAACGCUGGCGGCAUGCCUAAUACAUGCAAGUCGAACGAGAGGAAGGAAAGCUUGCUUUUCUGAAUCUAGUGGCGAACGGGUGAGUAACACGUAGGUAACCUGCCCAUGUGCCCGGGAUAACUUCUGGAAACGGAUGCUAAAACCGGAUAGGUAGCAGACAAGCAUUUGACUGCUAUUAAAGUGGCUAAGGCCAUGAACAUGGAUGGACCUGCGGUGCAUUAGCUAGUUGGUGAGGUAACGGCCCACCAAGGCGACGAUGCAUAGCCGGCCUGAGAGGGCGGACGGCCACAUUGGGACUGAGACACGGCCCAAACUCCUACGGGAGGCAGCAGUAGGGAAUUUUCGUCAAUGGGGGGAACCCUGAACGAGCAAUGCCGCGUGAGUGAGGAAGGUCUUCGGAUCGUAAAGCUCUGUUGUAAGAGAAAAACGGCACUCAUAGGGAAUGAUGAGUGAGUGAUGGUAUCUUACCAGAAAGUCACGGCUAACUACGUGCCAGCAGCCGCGGUAAUACGUAGGUGGCGAGCGUUAUCCGGAAUGAUUGGGCGUAAAGGGUGCGUAGGUGGCAGAUCAAGUCUGGAGUAAAAGGUAUGGGCUCAACCCGUACUGGCUCUGGAAACUGUUCAGCUAGAGAACAGAAGAGGACGGCGGAACUCCAUGUGUAGCGGUAAAAUGCGUAGAUAUAUGGAAGAACACCGGUGGCGAAGGCGGCCGUCUGGUCUGGAUUCUGACACUGAAGCACGAAAGCGUGGGGAGCAAAUAGGAUUAGAUACCCUAGUAGUCCACGCCGUAAACGAUGAGAACUAGGUGUUGGGGGAAUAACUCAGUGCCGCAGUUAACGCAGUAAGUUCUCCGCCUGGGGAGUAUGCACGCAAGUGUGAAACUCAAAGGAAUUGACGGGGGCCCGCACAAGCGGUGG
rnacentral:rRNA from 1 species